UACGGCCACAUCACGUUGAAAUACCGGUUCCCACAGAAUCAUUAAAGUUAAGCAGUGUAAAACCUGGUCAGUACUUAGAUGGGUGACCGCUAGGGAAUACCAGGUGUUGUGA